rnacentral:rRNA from 1 species
AACGAACGCUGGCGGCAUGCCUAACACAUGCAAGUCGAACGAGACCUUCGGGUCUAGUGGCGCACGGGUGCGUAACGCGUGGGAACCUGCCCUUAGGUUCGGAAUAACUCCCCGAAAGGGGUGCUAAUACCGGAUAAUGUCUUCGGACCAAAGAUUUAUCGCCUUUGGCUGGGCCCGCGUUGGAUUAGCUAGGUGGUAGGGUAAAAGCCUACCAAGGCGACGAUCCAUAGCUGGUCUGAGAGGAUGAUCAGCCACACUGGGACUGAGACACGGCCCAGACUCCUACGGGAGGCAGCAGUGGUGAAUAUUGGACAAUGGGCGAAAGCCUGAUCCAGCAAUGCCGCGUGAGUGAUGAAGGCCUUAUGGUUGUAAAGCUCUUUUACCCGGGAUGAUAAUGACAGUACCGGGAGAAUAAGCUCCGGCUAACUCCGUG